rnacentral:rRNA from 1 species
UACAGAGGUCCCAAGCGUUGUUCGGAUUCACUGGGCGUAAAGGGUGCGUAGGCGGUCGGGUAAGUCUGAUGUGAAAUCUCCAAGCUUAACUUGGAAAUGGCAUCGGAUACUAUUCGGCUCGAGGAAUGGAGGGGAGACUGGAAUACUUGGUGUAGCAGUGAAAUGCGUAGAUAUCAAGUGGAACACCAGUGGCGAAGGCGGUUCUCUGGGCCUUACCUGACGCUGAGACGCGAAAGCGUGGGGAGCGAACCGG